rnacentral:rRNA from 1 species
CUACUGGGGUAUCUAAUCCUGUUCGCUCCCCACGCUUUCGUGCCUCAGUGUCAGUCUCGGCCUGGCCGCCUGCCUUCGCAAUCGGCGUUCUGGGCGAUAUCUAUGCAUUUCACCGCUACACCGCCCGUUCCGGCGGCCUCGACCGAACUCAAGCCGACCAGUUCCAACGGCACGCCCCGCGUUGAGCGCGGGGUUUUCACCGCUGGCUUAGCCGGCCACCUGCGCACGCUUUAAGCCCAAUAAAUCCGGACAACGCUCGCACCCUCCGUAUUACCGCGGCUGCUGGCAC